rnacentral:misc_RNA from 1 species
AACGCACGAGACCUGCGGACCUGCGGAGGGAUCAUUAGUGAACGCCCUCACGGGCUUAUAACUAUUCCAAACCUCUGUGAACCGUGCCCUUCGGGGCUAUUUUACAAACAUGGUGUAAUGAGCGUCAUAUAUCAUAACAAAACAAAACUUUUAGCAAUGGAUCUCU